rnacentral:lncRNA from 1 species
AGAGGGAAAAGCAGUCUCCAUGCAGGGAGCCUGAUGUGGGACUCGAUCCCAGGGCUGAGGGCGGCACUAAACCGCUGAGCCACCCAGGGAUCCCCUACAAUUUCUUUUAAUCACUUAAAAGAGCACAGGGAUGUGCCCGUUCUUUGCAGCCUUAUGCAGGAGCAAACACCAUGCAGUUGGUUCCCCUGCCCACUGCCCUCCCGCAUCCCCAGCUCUUCUCAGUGUCCCCGCUCACGUGAACAGCUCACGCCGGCCAGUUUCUGGGCCCUGUGCAUAAUGAGCCAUGUGGACCCUGUUCCAGAAACUGGCCAUGUUCCAGAGCUACUAUAAAAUACAAGGAAAAUAUUAACAUCUCGGAUGACAAAAGAUCCAUAUGGCUGGUCAGAAAAUAUCCACAUCGCUUAAGCCAAUAGACUGUACCUUUAUGGAAACACUCGAUUCUGUUUCAUGAGCAUCGGGACUGUGAGAACAUCUGUUUGUCUCCCUCCCUUUUCACUAAACAUUGAUUCCCACAGAAUACAUGCAAACUCAAACACCAACAUAUUUAAUCUAAGCAACAGGAUGAGGGAUGUGUUUUUUAUCUACAUAGUGUCUGUAAGCAAACAUAGCACUGGUGGUAGUGGCGGGUUGGGGGGGUUGUAGAUUUUGGGAGAAGUUGUGGGCAGCUGGAUAAAUAACCUCUCUGUAUUAAAAAUGAUUAAAGAUAACAGCUAACAUUUAUAAGCUGCAAGGUGGAUACCCCAGUUAUCCACAGCUUACAGCAAAGAAAGCUGAUGCUCAGGAUGCCUGGGUGGCUCAGUGGUUGAGCGUCUGCCUUCAGCUCAGGCCAUGAUCCCAGGGUCCCGGGAUCAAGUCCGGCAUCAGGCUCCCCACAGGGAGCCUGCUUCUCCCUCUGCCUAUGUCUCUCAGGAAUAAAUAAAAUCUUAAAAAAAAAAAAGAAGAAAAGAAAACUGAGGCUCAGAGAGGUUCAAUAAAUUACUUAAAGACACACGGUAGAAAUGGAAUUUGAACCAGAGCUUGCAUGCUUCUUUCCACAUGGGGUCAGAUGUGGAUGGGAUCUUAUAUUUUGAGGGAGGUCUACUUGGCAGAGACACCUUCAAACCCUAAGCAUCAAUUUCAUAUUUACUUAAGCAAAGUCCUCUAUGAUCAUUCCUGAUAAGCAGUUUAUUGACACACUAAUUCCACAAAAGUUGACUCUAACCCGAAUAUUCCUGUUUUACUAUCUCUUCCCCAUAUUGAAUCGUCAAGGUCUCAGCCCUACAUGCCUACUUAAUAGGGCAUAGUGUCAACACAAUGCACGGAGGUAAUUUGUUUGAAAUGUCAGAACAUUUUCCUAGAAGAUCUCAUUGGGCCAGGAACAGAACCACGUGCUUUUUAGGUCACUAACCAUAACUGGCAAAUAGCCCCAACUCCACCUGAGUAAGAAUGAUUUCAAUCAAGACCCAAGUGCCAAGGUGCCUAAGGAAACAACAACAACAACAUAAAAUCUUUCCUUUUAGUACCAACCUAAUCCUCUCCAAGUCGAGACGCCUGGUUCCCUAGGCCACCCCACCUGUGACUCACGU